rnacentral:rRNA from 1 species
UACGGAGGGUGCGAGCGUUGUCCGGAAUCAUUGGGCGUAAAGGGCGCGUAGGUGGCGGGACAAGCGUGCGGUGAAAGCCCGGGGCUCAACCCCGUGUCUGCCGCGCAAACUGCUAGACUUGAGCACACUAGAGGCAGGUAGAAUUCCGGGUGUAGCGGUGGAAUGCGUAGAGAUCCGGAAGAAGACCGGUGGCGAAGGCGGCCUGCUGGGGUGGAGCUGGACACUGAGGCGCGACAGCGUGGGGGAGCAAACAGG